GUGGGGAAUAUUGGACAAUGGGCGAAAGCCUGAUCCAGCCAUGCCGCGUGUGUGAAGAAGGUCUUCGGAUUGUAAAGCACUUUAAGUUGGGAGGAAGGGCAGUAAGUUAAUACCUUGCUGUUUUGACGUUACCGACAGAAUAAGCACCGGCUAACUUCGUGCCAGCAGCCGCGGUAAUACGAAGGGUGCAAGCGUUAAUCGGAAUUACUGGGCGUAAAGCGCGCGUAGGUGGUUUUGUAAGUUGGAGGUGAAAUCCCCGGGCUCAACCUGGGAACUGCCUCCAAAAAUGCAUGACUAGAGUACGGUAGAGGGUAGUGGAAUUUCCUGUGUAGCGGUGAAAUGCGUAGAUAUAGGAAGGAACACCAGUGGCGAAGGCGACUACCUGGACUGAUACUGACACUGAGGUGCGAAAGCGUGGGGAGCAAACAGGAUUAGAUACCCCAGUAGUCC
rnacentral:rRNA from 1 species